rnacentral:lncRNA from 1 species
AGUGUGAGAUGACGGGACCAGAGCACGUUCCUGGCUGCAGAGGCCACAAGUCACGCUGUCUCUGAGAGUGGAAUGUCACCAUCGCCCAGGUGGGGAUUUUUGUGUGUUUUGUUCACUGCUGUACACCCAGCCCCCAGCACAGCGCCUGUCCAGGACAAGUGCCCAGUAAACACUUGGGAAGCAAUGCAAGCGUCCUCCCAGCAGCUCCUGCAAACAGACCCCCGACCCAAGCCCUUCCUUCUGCCUCCACUGCCACCACUGCUGCUCAUCUCUGCUGGCACAGAAGUCUCUUCCCUGGUCUUCCAGAAAUCCCCUCUCCACACUCAGCCAGAGGGAGCUAUUAAAACUGUGGGCCAGCCCACAUCAGUCCACAGCAAAGUCCUCUCUAAGGGAUCUCUGUUGCUUGGAGAAUAAACCCUCGGAUUCCUUCCUUGGCUCUCGGGGCCUCCUCUCUGACCUCCCUCUGUCUCCUCUCCCAGCCUUCCUCCUCACUCACCCUCCAGCCAUGCUGGCUUCCUCCUUGCUCCUGAAACAGCCUGAGGCCCACACUGCCCCGGGCCCUUUGCACUGGCUGUUUCCUCUGCCUGGAACACUUCUCCUAGGCAUCCACAGGGCUCCCUCCCACAACUCCUUCGGGUGCCCACAUGGGAAGCCAUCCCUGACCACCCCCCCGACUUCCUUCUGAGCAAGGUAGGGUCUUUCUACCUAGUCAUGAGGGCAGGGAUUUUUGUCUGUUGUGUUCUCUGUGUGCCCCCAGUGCCAUCCCAGUGCCUGGCAGAUGGUAAGUGCUCGACACACAUUGGCUGACUGCCUGAAUGAACAACUCUAUGAGCCGAUGGCAGAUAAGGACACUGAGGUCCUCUGGGGUAGGUGACCAGCCCAAGGCCACACAGCUGGUCUGAGAUUAGGCCAGGAGAGGAGCCCGGGUUGGUCACAUCCUGGAGUUGGCGUCUUGGAAACUGCAUCAGGAGAAUAACAAAGAUGAGACGCAGGCUCUAACAAGUGGAUACCAGUGACUCUCGCCCCGCCAGCCCCAGCCCUGCAGCCUUGGGCCCUUCCAGGAGUCAUGGUCUGCCUGCCUGGGGCAUUCCAGGCUUCGACCCAGGUCCUGCACUUUCUAUUUUGAGCCUCUUAGUCCUGAGGACUGUGUGUUCCCAGCAGGCGGCGCGGGCCAGAGGCUGAGCCUGGGUGUGGCUGUCACCCUAUCUGGGGCCAGAGACCCAGAUUCCCGGGCCCUUAACCUGUUGGCUGCUGAGGGCUCUGGCAUAAGCCCUGUUCCCUGCUUGAUUGUCUCCCCUUCAAGCCCCUGCCCUGGUAUCGUAUCGGCCCAUCUCACCUUGGAUUAUAUCCCUGUUUGGCCCCAUUUGAAUCCUGGCUCUGCCCCUUUCCAGCAAUGUGACCUUGGGCAAGUCACUUCAUCUCUCUGGGUCUCAGUUUCUUCAUCUGGGAAAUGGGGACAAUAAGAGUACCUGUCUCUGGCCAUGUGUGGUGACUCAUGCCUGUAACCCCAGCGCUUUGGGAAGCCGAGGCGAGAGAAUUGCUUGAGACCAGGAGUUUGAGAUCAGCCCUGGGCAACAUAGUGAGACCCCUGUCUCUACAAAAUUCUAAAAAAAUUAGCCGGGUGUGGUGGUGUGUGCCUGUAGUCCCAGCUAUUCUAGAGGCUGAGGCGGGAGGAUUGCUUGAGCCCAGGAGUUUGAGGCUGCAGUGAGCUAUGAUUAUGCCCCUGCACAUCAGCCUGGGUGAUAGAUUGAGGCCCCAUCUCUAAAAAUAACAAUACUAAUAAUAAAUAAAAAUGAAAAUGAGUACCUGUCUUCUGGGGUUGCAGAGGAGAUUCAAUGUGAUGAAAUUGAUGAGAGUGCCCUGCAGGGAGCCGGAAACUCAGGGAGCAUCGAUAAUGAGUCCCCCACCAUCAGCAGCUGGCUUAAAUAUAAAAACUGUCAUGGCCUCUGGAGAAAUGACAAGAAUUCGAAGGAGCUUCCCUGCACUGGCCACCCUACACCCUACACCCUUACUUCCUCCCCUCAACUUGCCUGGAUUUAUCGACCCCCACUACCCCACUGGUUGCCUUCUCUCCACCUGGCACAUUUCGUAUGAAUUUGCUUGUUGGUUCUUGCCUAUCUCCCCAGUAGAACAUUAGCUCCUUCAGGACAGGGACUUUUGUCUACCUUAUGCACCUAGUGCAAUGCCUGGCACACAGUCGGUGCUUAAUAAAUGUUUCUUAAAAGAACCAAUAAAUGAAUAGUGACCUCUCCGGGGAGAGGAGCCCUGAGCUCACCUCCUGCCCCCAGCCCAGGGCUCUUAGGUGCUUGUUGGUGUCAGGCCCAGGCCCCCCUCUCAUCAAGCAGCCAAUAAAACUGCCCUGGUUGGCGUUCUCAUUUCACAGAUGGAGAGACUGAGCCCAGAGAGGGAGAGUCACCUGUCUGAUGUCACACAGAGGUCAAUUUGGACCUUGCCAAAGCCUCUUCCUUCUGGUGACCUUAGCUGAGAGGUCUGCCACUAGCAGGUGCUUCAUGAACAGUUGCUGAACAAGUGGUGUGCAUCAUGCUCCCGCUGUGAACUUCAGCUUGCUUGAAGGCGGAUUCCUCCAGGCCUGCAGGUACCUGGCUUGAGACGUUGCCUGGCCCUCAAAACACCCAGGUUCCCCCCAAGCUCCUCCCCAGCCUCCUCCCUGCUGACCUUGGGGAGCUCCCGGUUUGCCCUCAGCCCUUUUCUGGAGGCCCCAGAAUCACCAAGAGGUAAUCCUGCCUGCUGCCUGGAGGAGGCGAUGUGGGAGACUCAGGAACCUGGGGUGUCCCCCAGCCAGGGGGCGGGCGUUGUGAUCCGGCGCUGCUGAGCACUGCAGUGCCUUCCCUGAUGGCCUUGUGUGCCGCUCCCUGACCCUCCCGUAGAGCAGCCUUCCCAUACUGCUGGGUGACACUUGCGUAAAUCAUUUCACCUCUUGGCUCUGUAAAACGGGACUGGGGUGGUCCCUACCCCUUCAGGGUGUCGUGAGAAUGAAAGGCAUCAAGUGGGCAAAGCGCUUGGCAUGGCCCUGAACCAUGGUGGGCAUUUGUCACACACGCUCAUGGACUUAUUCCUGGGUCCCUAGGAUACCCUGGAGCUCCUCCCCAGGUUGGACCUGCUGCUAGCAUGAGAGGGAAGAAGGGGGACACAGACACCAAAGACAGUUCUCGUCCUCAUCUAAAUGCUGGCGACUUCCAAGGGCACCUCCCCAAGGCCUCCCCUGAGCCUAGACUCAGGGGUCUCCACCCACCUGUCUCUGUCCCUGCUGGGAUGACCAGGAGAAGCCUCAAACCCAGGUUGGCCAGGACUCCAUUCCUGAUCUGCCCCCCGAAGCCAGUCCUGCCUCUACUGAUGGCUCCUGCAUCCUCCAGGUGGUCCCCCAAACCUGGGAGUCUCCCCUGCCUUCUUCUUCUCACUUGCUCCCACAUCUGAUCGCUCAUCACAUCCUGUCGACUCCACCUUCAAGGUAGACCCGGAGUCUGCCCUCGUCUCCCCACCUCCACGGCCCCCGCUUCGGCCACGGCCACCAGCACCACCGCCUGGACUGGUGCAGUCACUUCCUCCUGGCUUCCUUUUCUCCCUCAGCCCCUCACAGUCUGUUCUCCACACACGACCAGAGGGACCUGUCAGAAGGGACCUAUACCUUCCAGCACAGACCCUCCCAGGGAUCCCAGCUCUCUGAGUGAAAGCUCCCUGUGGCCCGUGAGGCCGGGUGCGACCCUGGCCCCCCAGCAAACCCUCCACUUGUCUGAUGACCUCGCUGCCUCUCUCCCUCGCGUACUCCCUUCCAGCCCUGAUAGCUUCCUGCUGUUCCUCAAGAAGCCCUGGGUCUUUCCACCUCAAGGUCUUUGCAGGUCCCUGGAGCCCUUGUCCACCAUGGAUGUCCACGGCUCCCUCACCUCCUUCAGGUCUGAGCUCGGAUGCCACUCUCGACAGCCACCUUCUCUGACCCUUCCCCUGGCUUAAGUAGCCUCUGCCUGCUCGACAAUCUCUCCCUCUACGCCCCUGACCAUCCCGUGUUCUUUUUUCAUAGGGGGAGGGGAAAGGCACUCCCAGGAGAGUGGACAGUGUGGGCCAGGGCCUGGACGUGUGGGCAGCAAGAGGGUGGGUGAGGGGAGAGUGGUGGAGCCUGGGUGGCUGAGCUUCAGGGGGAGGCAUCCUCCAGGCAGGAGUGAGCAGGCCAGGGUCACCCUGACUCCGUCAGCCACUGGUUGUGUGACUUCAGGGAGCUCUCUCUGGACCCAAGAACCUGCAACUGCUGUUGGAGACCCACUAAGUGGACCUGUCAUCUGACAGAGGGGGAAACUGAGUCUCCAAAGCUGCUGCUGUGACCUGCUGAAAGGGUCAGCCCAGGGAUAGGGACAAACCAGGGGCUUCUAGCAGUCACUUGCACCUCAGUGUGAGUGAGCUCCCUGGAUUCUUGGCUGUCUGGUAGCCCCUAGACCCCAUGGGGCUUGGGAGGCAGAGUGAUGGCAGGGCUGAGCCUGGGGUGGAGUCAGGGCUGUGUCAAGUCCCGGCCCAGCCUCUGUCCCGGCCCCUGGCUCCCUGCAGGGUGCUGGAUUGCACAAUCAUACCACCCACAGCUGUGACCAAGGCAGGUGACACACGCUUUCUGGGAGCCACCCUUGGGCCGUGCAGCCUCGUCACACACACAGGGCCACCGAUGGCAUGGAUGCACCCCGGCACAUCCUGACUGCGAGGAGUGACUGCUCCUCACACUGCCACUUCCGGGCUGUGUGACUCUGGGCAAGUCACUUCCCCUCUCUGAGCCUCUUUUCCUCUUCUGUAAGAGGAGGUAAUAUAGUGCCUGCUCCCCUGGCUGUUGGAGGGAUUGACUCUGCCCCCGCCAUGCUGGCCCUCUGGCUGGUCCUCAAAUGCACCGGGCAUGCCCCACCCAGGGCCUCCACCUGCGCCCUUCCCUUUGCUUGGGCCGGCCCUUGCACCUCCUUCAAGUCUCUGCUCAAACGUCGCAGCUCAUGAGGCCUUUCCUGCCCCUGACACUCCCUCCUUACUGAAUUCCUCCCUGCAUCUCUCAGUGCUACCUGACUCAUCAUGGUUCCUGCUUGUUUUGUCUACCCGCUCCUGGGUGGCAGCUCCAUCUUUGUCUCUCUUGGUCAUCACUGUGUCCCCAGAUCCCAACAAAGCACCUCGUACAAGAAAGUGCUCAGUCCAUAGUUGCAGAAUAAAUGAAUGAAUGAAUGAAUGAAUGAAUGAAUGGAAAGUGCUUAGCUCCACGCCCGACCCUUAGUAAGCACCUGAAACCCAAUGCCGUGUGGUGGUGUUAGCUUUGGCUCCCGAUUUCUAGCCCCAUCCAAUCCCACCCUCAUCAGCCCGGCGCCCGUGCUUUCUCUGCCUGGCCAGCUUCCUGCUGCCUGCACAGUCUCCUCCCUGGGUCAGGACGACCUCUGAGGGAAUCGUGGGCCUGCACGGCUGGCUCCCUCUGGCUCUGCCUCCAGCUCCUCUUACAUCUCCCGGGGGCAGAGGCUUCUGGGAAACAGGCUUUGAAGCUCCCCUGGGUCAGACCCGCUGGGGCCUUCCUUAGGCAUUGCCUGAUGUGACCCCAUUAGUGAACAAAUGGGGACAGUGAGACCUAGAGAGGGGCAGCCAUGUCCGAUGUCAGGCUUCGGGGCUCCCAAAACAUCCAGGGAAGCUUCCAGGACUCUGGCUUCUUUGUUGUUUUUGGAACAGAGCUGAGCUCAGGUGCCUGUUUUCUAGAUGACAAAACUGAACCCCGUUACAGGCUUUGGAGCCAGGUUUGAAUCUCAGUCCUCUUACUUCCUGGCUGUGUGAUCGAGGUUUGUCACUUGGUCCCUCUGAGGCUCAGCUUCCUUGUCUGCAAAAUGGCACCCUAAUGGUACCCAACUCACGGAGGUGUUUGGGGGGACAAGGUCAGCCAUCCUGCAGGCAGGUGGGGUCUCUGGCCUCUCCCACGGGGUCCUGGGACUCCUGGCUCCGGAACCCCCAAGGCCCAGCCCCUCCAGGGCCCGCAUGGUUCCCUCCUUGCUGGGAUAAUUUACAGUCCCAGGGCCAUAGCUGCUGUUGCUUUAUUUUUUUCCCUUCCCCGACUUCUCCCUUCCUCACCCUGGCCUCACUUCUCCAGAACCAGCUUGUUUUUGUUUUCUGUUUUUACGGCUCCAUAAAUGAGUCACGGGUCUGAUUUGAUUUAAUUUCGUUGUAAUUGUUAUCUUUUCAAGCUUGUUUUUUUCCACUCGGUUACUCACGAGACCACAAAAACCUAAACAGGACGGGGCCUUCCCCAGCCCGGCCUCCUGGUCCCCCGGGACUCCGGGCCAGGGUCAGCAGCUCCUGGAGACUGAGGUGGGGUCUGUGGAGCUUCUGUGGGGAGGGACUUGGUGUCCCCAGCAGGACUGGGUAUCCCGAGUCCCGGGCUGCAGCUCUGUUGCUGGACAGCCUUGAGAGAAUUGUUCGAGCUUUCUGAUUUCCCCAGCAUCCUCCUUAGCAGGCUUUAGAACAGGGAACCAAAACCCAGGCACCUCUGGGCCAGAAGGUGAAAGGAUGAGUAAGGUGGCCUGGUGCUGGCUCCGGUGAACUGGAGAGAACAGGCUCUCCUCAGGGGACGGUGGCCUCUGAGCCAGCAGGCGGCCCGGAUCUUCCCAUUUAGUAAGAGAAGCCAGAAGUCUGAGAUUGUAUGUGAAAAGUCCUGAUUUUUAAAUGUUGGCCAACGAGUCAAAUUAAAAACAAAUAAACAAAACCUGACUCUGUGGAUAUCUGUGGCCCCGUGGGCCACCUCUGGUCUAGAAGGUUCCAAUUCUAGCUGCGGCAGCCGUGUUCUCAGUCCUUCCACCCUUCUGCCUGAGCAGUCCCCUCUGCCUGAAACUCUCUCCUUCUUCCUCCUCAUCUCAGUCACUCUCAUUCUCUGAACCUCGGUGUGUCUCCUGUUCGCAGCUCAGAAGAGAUGACAUCUGCUUCAUCCAUGUUCGCCUUCCCAAGGCGCCUAGUUGUUCCCAAUUCACUUUUGUUUCUAUGCUUUCUCUUCCAUGGAGGGUCUGUCUUGUUUGAGACCGCCUUCGUAGUGGGGGAAAUUAGCCCCUUAGUUGUUAAAAGUCAUAACACAUAUCCUGCCUGUCUUAUCAUUCAUUUCUAAAAUGGGGCACGAUACUUCUUUGGUCAUUUAAAAACCGAAGACGCGAGGCCGACGCCUCCAGGGAUGUGCGCUGGGCGGUAGGAGCCAGGUGUGGGGCCAAGGAGUGGGGGCGGAGGAGGAAGCCAGGUCCCCAGCCAGGGGGCUGAGGGCUGCUCCUCCAAAGCUUGGGUAUGGACAUGUGACCAGGGCCCACCAAUCACAUGCAGCCAUGCCAGAUUUAUGAAUCAGAAGUUGGAAAUGUUGGGGGCUGAUUGCUUAGGACUCCGUUCUGGGGUGGGUGGGGCUGCAGCCCGGCUAUUUUUCCAGAAGCUGCAGUGGGCCAGUUCUGGGGGCAGUGACCAGGGCUCAGCGGUGGCCACAGUGCAGAUGGAAUCAUUUUGCAGAAAUGACCCUCCCCGUGAUUAUGUCAGGAAUGUCAAGUACAAUGAAAAGAACACUGCAUUGUGCAGUCAUGCAAUUUGGU